rnacentral:rRNA from 1 species
UACGAGGGGUGCAAGCGUUGCUCGGAAUUAUUGGGCGUAAAGGGUAGGUAGGUGGUCUCAUUUGUCUGGGGUGAAAGCCUUGAGCUUAACUCAAGAAGUGCCCCAGAAACGGUGAGACUGGAGUCCUGGAGAGGGUCGUGGAAUUCCCGGUGUAGCGGUGAAAUUCGUAGAUAUUGGGAAGAACACCGGUGGCGAAGGCGGCUCACUGGCCCGUUACUGACGCUCAGGCGCGACAGCGUGGGGAUCAAACAGG